rnacentral:tRNA from 1 species
GUGGGCGUAGCUCAAUGGUUAGAGCGCUGGACUGUGACUCCAGAGGCUGGGGGUUCGAAACCCCUCGUCCACCCCA